AAGUCGUAACAAGGUUUCCGUAGGUGAACCUGCGGAAGGAUCAUUAACACGUAUCCGACUGGGUCAGCGAGCUAACGCUCCCUUAAAACCACUUAACAUGACGACAGUUCCUCUUUAACUUGAGUUGAGCAUAACAAAAAACUAUACAACUGUUAACAAUGGAUAUCUUGGUUCUC
rnacentral:misc_RNA from 1 species